rnacentral:rRNA from 1 species
CAGCCGCCGCGGUAAUACGAAGGGUGCAAGCGUUAAUCGGAAUUACUGGGCGUAAAGCGUGCGUAGGCGGUUUGUUAAGUCUGUUGUGAAAUCCCCGGGCUCAACCUGGGAAUGGCAAUGGAUACUGGCAAGCUAGAGUGUGUCAGAGGAUGGUGGAAUUCCCGGUGUAGCGGUGAAAUGCGUAGAGAUCGGGAGGAACAUCAGUGGCGAAGGCGGCCAUCUGGGACAACACUGACGCUGAGGCACGAAAGCGUGGGGAGCAAACAGGAUUAGAUACCCGUGUAGUCCCUGUCUCUUAUAC